UACGGGGGGAGCAAGCAUUGUUCGGAUUUACUGGGCGUAAAGGGCGCGUAGGCGGCCACCGCAAGUCGACUGUGAAAUCUCCGGGCUUAACCCGGAAAGGUCAGCCGAUACUGCGGGGCUAGAGUGCAGAAGGGGCAACUGGAAUUCUCGGUGUAGCGGUGAAAUGCGUAGAUAUCGAGAGGAACACCUGCGGCGAAGGCGGGUUGCUGGGCUGACACUGACGCUGAUGCGCGAAAGCUAGGGGAGCGAACGGG
rnacentral:rRNA from 1 species